GCCGGCGGGCCAAGUCGGAGAGGAGGAGGGGCGCUCGCCGCCCGCAGCCGAGGCGGGGGCUGGCGGCGCUCGGCCGGCUCUCGGUCCCCGCAGCACCCGGGCCUCCCCGCGGUCCAGGUCCGAGCCUUGCUCCUGACCCAUUUACCUCCGGACAACCUCCCUCCUCCCCCGCCUAGCAGACUUCUAGGACUUCUCUAGGACUUCUCUCCGGAAGACUGAUAUCGCUACCUAGGAAUGUGAAAAUUGGAACAAUAAUGUGCAAGGGAGGGCACUACUGGAAUCUGAAGAUGUAUCAGUUGCUGGAGAGCAUCCUCUGUGAUCCCAGAUACACAAUGAGAAGGCAAAAUUAAUGUCGAACAUAAUCAAGACAUAGCAGGCUCUCAACAAAAAAUUAUUGCAUCAAUAAAGAACAAGCCCUGGACUUUCUAAAUCUAUAAUGUCCCCAUUCUAUUCUCAACUCAAGGCACAAGCAUGAUUAGUUCAGUGGUUGAUGAGCAAACACUAGAUUAAGGUGAAAACUAACAGUAGUUUUUGGCCAUUUUUCCUUUUUAAAAUUUGACUUUGCUUUCUGCUGAUCCAGGAUUCAAUCAGUAUGUUAUAGCUGAGAUCUAAAUAGAUGAAAUGAAUUGCAGAUUCUUACCUUUAUAUUCCAGUGUGAAUUUAACACUUUGAAAAGAGAUGAACCUGAGUAAUUAAUUUAACAAACAUGUAUUAAGUCCUUACAAUGUGUCAGGUGUGGGAAUACUAACUGGUAUCAUAACUGAUUUUGAACAAAUGUUUAACAUUAAAAAAUUAAUGAUUUUUUUUGUAUACUAGGCCUAACCAAAUAUGACAGACUGAUAGAACUGCAAAGAACUAUGUUGGUAUGUGGCCAGUUUCAGGAUCUAAAUCCUCGAAUGCCAUUUUUCAGCAAUUACUACGAGAGAUUAGAACCUGAAUGAUAUGAUGCAUCGAACUAGAUAGGCUUUAUAUUUGGUCUCUUGCCCUGGUAGUCCCCAGAUGAACAUCCAAAAUUUCUAAAAUCUAGCUGAGUUACCUUUAAAUCUAGACUAGAGAAAGUUUAAGUACCCAGAAUAUAAAAUUUGUUAGAUGGAGAAUCACAUCUUCUUGUUUACCCCUGUAUCUUGAGUGCCUGGCACAGAAGUUGAGCUUAGUAGAGUUUGUUCCAUCUUCCUACUGUACCAUGGGUAUGAUUGGAAGGAAUUAAUGGACUAACUGUUGGAUGAUGAAGCUCAGUGCAGUCCCUUUUCAAGGAAAUAUAUGUGAUCUGUUAGAGGGCAGAAUUGGACUCUAACAGUAAGUUUCUGCAUAGUAAUGAUCAUUUAAAAAGGUAAUACAAUUGAAAAAAAACAUAUUCUUAUGAUUUUUAAAUCAUGCUAUACUUCCAUAUGGUGUAUAGAUCUGAUUUCUGAAAAUUUUCUAUAUAUAUGUAUGCAGAUAGAACUUUCUAGAGUGACCUACAAUGAAAUACUAUCAAACAUCUCUGGGUGGUAGAAUUUUAUGUCAUCUCAUAAUUAUGGAACAAUAAAGUUGAUUUUAAGACUA